ensembl:lncRNA
GCAUACAGACUGCUGCCACGCUGGCUGGCUAGGUCGCUCUCUAAGGCAUAUUACGUACAAGACUGGGACACUUCAGGAUGGGACAGCUAUUGGAAUAAUCUCUGUUAUUUGCCAGUUACCUAAAGCCUGGACAUUUGCUUUGAAUGUGAAGGACCUUCUGCAGAACUCCCACUGUUGGCCUUGAAAGGGGCUUGCAUUGAAGGUUGCUUCAUGGUGUGUCAGGAGGUGCUGCUUCAUGGUGUGUCAGGAGGAAGGGACAAGAGACUUCAACACAACCCUUGUGUCCACUUUGAAGAGUGCUUCUGUGUGCCGUCCAACCUGGUGACUACUGGACACAAAGCCCUACAUGGCUAGAGCCACCUCUUCUUCAUGCCCUGGACUCCCAGCUGCUGCAGACUGCCAGCAUUGGGAUUGCUGUCCAUCAAUACUCCUGGGACUGCAGAUGUCCAUCAGUACACCUGGAAUUAAAGAUGUCCAUCAACACACCUGGGAUUGAAGAUGUCCAUCAAUACACUUAGGAUUGAAGAUGUCCAUCAGUACACCUGGGACUGCAGAUGUCCAUCAGCACACCUGGGACUGCAGAUGUCCAUCAGUACACCUGGGAUUGCAGAUGUCUAUCAGUACUCCUGGGACUGCAGAUGUCAAUACACCUGGGAUUGAAGAUGUCCAUCAGUAAACCUGGGAUUGAAGAUGUCCAUCAGUACACCUGGAAUUACAGAUGUCCAUCAGUACACCUGGGAUUGCAGAUGUCCAUCAGGACACCUGGGAUUGCAGAUGUCCAUCAACACACCUGGGACUGCAGAUGUCCAUCAACACACUAGGGGUUGAAGAUGUCCAUCAAUACACCUGGGAUUGCAGAUGUCCAUCAGUACACCUGGAAUUACAGAUGUCCAUCAGUACACCUGGGAUCGCAGAUGUCCAUCAACACACCUGGGACUGCAGAUGUUCAUCAACACACUUGGGAUUGAAGAUGUCCAUCAACACACCUGGGACUGCAGAUGUCCAUCAACACACCUGGGAUUGCAAAUGUCCAUCAGUACACCUGGGACUACAGAUGUCCAUCAAUAACCUGGCUUCUUUUAUGGGUCUGUAGACCCUAACUCAGGUCCUCAUGCUUAUAUGGAAAGCCCUUUAUGGAUUUAUCCAGCUCCCCCAACCCCUUAACUUUAAAAAAUAUUUACCUACUUAUUGUUAUGUGCAUGGAUGUUUGGCCUCUGUGAAUGUCUGUGCAUCACAUCCCAGCAGUGUCUGUGGAGGCCAGCAGAAGGUAGCAGAACUAGAGUUAAAGACCAUUGUGAGAUACCAGGUAGAAAUCAAACCCAGGUCCUCUGGAAGAGCAGCCAAUACUUUCAUCCACUGAGCCAUCUCUCCAACCCCAACCCCUUGAUUUUUAAAAUUUAUUUUAUUUUAUGUGUAUGAAAAUUUUACCUGCAUGUAUGGAAAUGCACUGUGAGUAUGUAUGGUGCUCAUAGAGAUCAGAAG